UCCGUAGGCGGGCAAUUAAGUCAGAGGUGAAAUCCCACAGCUCAACUGUGGAACUGCCUUUGAUACUGGUUGUCUUGAGUUACAGUGAAGUAGAUAGAAUAUGUAGUGUAACGGUGAAAUGCAUAGAUAUUACGUAGAAUACCGAUUGCGAAGGCAGUCUACUAACUGUAUACUGACGCUAAUGGACGAAAGCGUGGGGAGCGAACAGGAUUAGAUACCCUGGUAGUCC
rnacentral:rRNA from 1 species